UCUUGAGGUUUUCUGUCGCACUGACCAGAAAUUUGUAUGUAUGCUGUGUACGAUGGAUGAACACAAAAACCACGACACUGUAUCAGCUGCAGCACAGAGGACAGAGAAACAGAAACAGCUGAUGGAGAUGCAGAAUACGCUCCAGCAGAGAAUCCAGAAGAGAGAGAAAGAUCUCCAGCAGCUGAGAGAGACUGUGGAGUCUCGUAAGCGCUCUGCACAGACAGCAGCCGAGGACAGUGAGAGGAUCUUUACUGAGCUCAUCC